rnacentral:rRNA from 1 species
CAGCAGCCGCGGGAAUACGAAGGGUGCAAGCGUUACUCGGAAUUACUGGGCGUAAAGCGUGCGUAGGUGGUGGUUUAAGUCCGUUGUGAAAGCCCUGGGCUCAACCUGGGAAUUGCAGUGGAUACUGGAUCACUAGAGUGUGGUAGAGGAUAGUGGAAUUUCCGGUGUAGCAGUGAAAUGCGUAGAGAUCGGAAGGAACAUCUGUGGCGAAGGCGACUAUCUGGGCCAACACUGACACUGAGGCACGAAAGCGUGGGGAGCAAACAGGAUUAGAGACCCCCGUAGUCCCUGUCUCUUAUAC